AAUGCAUCCUUCUGUUUCAUAGGUCAUCCGCUUCCCAGUUUCAAAGGGCAUUGCCAGCACCACAAAAAGUAGCUUGCUCAUAUGAAUCUAUCUUUUCAACAGGGCAAGGUUUCGUGCAGAUGGUCGUCGUUAAAAUCUCUACGAGAUCUGCAUUUUACAUCCAUGAGUGAUGUGAGAAAUUCUGUCUUGGUCACUUAUGGGAGUUAAAUUUGGUAUCGUUCUACGGGAAAUCACCACUUAUGGUGAGUUGCCAUACCCUGACAUCACAGGGCCAAUUGCCUUAGUAAGUCGACUUGCUUCGGGAUACCGGAUGCCUCGUCCCGACCGAUGUUCAGAAGAACUAUAUGAGCUCAUGAGUUCUUGUUGAAAAGAAAAUCCUUUGAGGAGACCAGCAUUUCGCAGAUCACCCAACAGCUGAAUAAUUUUUUGCGAGAAGUGAGGAGGACAUAUACAAACAUCACAGAGGUCAACGAUGGAGAAGCUUGACGAUGACACCCUGACGCUGAAGCAAACACCUCAUUUUAUUUGCUUACUAAUAUAGGAAGAUAACUGCGAGAUCUCAAAUAAGCGCAUAUAUGUAUAAGGUCUGAUAGUCAUGAUUAAAGCAAUUUUUUCUGAACCAGGUACC